GAUCAUGGCUCAGGACGAACGCUGGCGGCGUGCCUAAUACAUGCAAGUCGAGCGAAGUUUUUCUGGUGCUUGCACCGGAAAAACUUAGCGGCGAACGGGUGAGUAACACGUAAAGAACCUGCCUCAUAGACUGGGACAACUAUUGGAAACGAUAGCUAAUACCGGAUAACAGCAUUAACUGCAUGGUUGAUGUUUAAAAGUUGGUUUUUGUCUAACACUAUGAGAUGGUCGUUUGUCGGGUGGUCAUUAAG
rnacentral:rRNA from 1 species